UACAGAGGUCCCGAGCGUUUGUUCGGAUUCAUUGGGCGUAAAGGGUGCGUAGGUGGCGCCGUAAGUGGGGUGUGAAAUCCCGGGGCUUAACCCCGGGACUGCAUUCCAUACUGCGGUGCUUGAGGACUGGAGAGGAGACUGGAAUUUACGGUGUAGCAGAUGAAUGCGUAGAGAUCGUAAGGAAGACCAGUGGCGAAGGCGGGUCUCUGGACAGUUCCUGACACUGAGGCACGAAGGCCAGGGGAGCAAACGGG
rnacentral:rRNA from 1 species